AUGAGAUGUGUGCACGUGUGUCUGUGAGAGGUGUGUGUGUGCAUGUGUGAGGUAUAUGAAGUGUUUGUGUGAUGUGCGUGGUGUGUUUCUGUGUGGUAUUUGUGUGGUGUGUACAUGUGUGAUGCAUGGGGUGUGGGGUGUGAAGUGUGUAUGUGGUAUGUGGUAUGUGUGUGCAUGUAUCCAGUGAAUUAAAUUGGAGACUUUAUCCCAAGGUGAGAGCUCAGGCUGCACUGUCACGUGUAAAGAAAUCAUUUAUACCUUAACAACAAUCAUCUAAAAAUAUUGACAUCAGAAGGCAUGCAAACACUGAAAACCCUCCAGCACAGAGGCUAAGUACUCUGAAGGUGACUCGAUGGCUUGAUUUUGCUGUUAGAAACAAGGAGACACUAGUGUGAGUUUGUGUAGCAUGUGUAUGGUGUGUUUGUGUGUGAGGUGGGUGUGUUACAUGUCUGCAUGGUGUGUGUGGGGUGUGUGUAUAUAUAUGUGAGGUGUGUGGGUUUGUGUGUGGCGUGUGUGGUCUGGAUGUGUCUGUGUGUGGUUUGUGUGUGUGUGAGGUGUGUGUGUAUAUGUGAGAUGUGUAUGUGGUCUAUUUGUGUGUGUGGUGUGUGAGGUGUGUUUGUGGUGUGUGAGGUGUGUAUAGUGUGUGAGGUGUGUGGUGUAUGUUUGUGAGGUCUGUGUGAGGUGCAUUUGUGGUGUAUGUGUGAGGUGUGUUCGCAUACAUGUGUGUGGUAUGGGAGGUAUGUGUGUGGUGUGUGAGGUGUGUGUCUGUGUGAAGUAUGGGGUGUGUGAAGUGUGUGGUGUGUAUGUGUGAGGUGUAUAUGUGUGUGAAAUAUGUAUGUGGUGUGUUUGUAUGUGUAUGUGUUUGAGGGGUGUGUGUGUAUGUGUGUGAGGUGUGUGUGUGUGAGGGGUGAGGUGUGUGUGGUGUGUGUGCGAGGUGUGUGGGGGGUUGAGGUGUGAGAUGUGGGAGGUGUGUGGUGUGUGUGAGGUGUGUGUAUGUGUUGGAGGUAUUUGCGUAUGUAUGCGUGUGAAUGUGUGUAUGUGUGUGAAAUGUUUAUGUGGUGUGUUUGUAUUUGUAUGUGUGUGAGGUGUGUGGUGUGUGAGGAGUGCCUGUGGUGUGUGUGUGAGGUGAGUAUAUGUGUGAAAUGUGUAUAUGGUGUGGUGUGUGUGUGAAGUGUAUGUGUGUGAGGUGUGUAUGUGUGUGAGGUGUGUAUGUGUGUGAAAUAUGUAUAUGGUGUAUUUGUAUGUGUAUAUAUGUGAGGUGUGUGGUGUGUGUGUGUUAUGUGUGUGAAAUGUGUAUAUGGUGUAUUUGUAUGUGUAUGUGUGUGAGUAGUGUGUGGUGUGUGUUAUGUGUGAAGUGUAUGUGAGGUGUGCUAUGUGUGUGAAAUGUGUAUAUGGUGUAUUUGUAUGUGUAUGUGUGUGAGUGGUGUGUGUGGUGUGUGGUGUGUGUGAGGUGUAUGUGAGGUGUGUAUGUGUGUGAAAUGUGUAUAUGUUGUGUUUGCAUGUCUGUGGAUGUGUGGUAUGUGUGAGGUGCCUGUGAGGGGUGUGCACACACCGGCACAGAUACACUGAGGAGAUGUCCCUCUUGGCUCAGCGGCGUGGACGUGUGCUAUGGGAUUGGAACAGUCGGGAGGAGGAAGGCGCUCGCCUUCUCUGUGCGCAUGUCCUUUGACUUUUUCUUACAGACUCCUGCUCUGAUGUGCUGAUCUCUGAGUCAUGUUUCUCUUUUCAUGCUAGAC
rnacentral:lncRNA from 1 species